UACGUAGGGGGGCAAGCGUUGUUCGGAUUUAUUGGGCGUAAAGGGCGCGUAGGCGGCGCGGUAAGUCGGGUGUGAAAUCUUGGAGCUUAACUCCGAAACUGCAUUCGAUACUGCCGUGCUUGAGGACUGGAGAGGAGACUGGAAUUUACGGUGUAGCGGUGAAAUGCGUAGAUAUCGUAAGGAAGACCAGUGGCGAAGGCGGGUCUCUGGACAGUUCCUGACGCUGAGGCACGAAGGCCAGGGGAGCAAACGGG
rnacentral:rRNA from 1 species